UCCGGCUUGUCACCGGCAGUUUCCUCAGAGUGCCCAGCUCAACCUGAUGGCAACUGAAGGCGAGGGUUGCGCUCGUUUCGGGACUUAACCCAACAUCUCACGACACGAGCUGACGACAGCCAUGCAGCACCUGUGCAAAGUGUCCUCGCGGAAACGUACAUCUCUGUACGCGGCACUUCCAUGUCAAGUCCUGGUAAGGUUCUGCGCGUUGCGUCGAAUUAAACCACAUGCUCCACCGCUUGUGCGGGCCCCCGUCAAUUCCUUUGAGUUUCAACCUUGCGGUCGUACUCCCCAGGCGGGGUACUUCCUGCGUUAGCGCCGGCACCCAGAGGGUCGCUCCCCCAGGCACCUAGUACCCAUCGUUUACGGCGUGGACUAC
rnacentral:misc_RNA from 1 species